GAUGAAUAACGUAGCGAAAUGCGAUACGUAAUGUGAAUUGCAAAUUCAGUGAAUCAUCGAGUCUUUGAACGCACAUUGCGCCCCCUGGUAUUCCGGGGGGCAUGCCUGUCCGAGCGUCAUUGCUGCCCUCAAGCACGGCUUGUGUGUUGGGCCCCGUCCUCCGAUCCCGGGGGACGGGCCCGAAAGGCAGCGGCGGCACCGCGUCCGGUCCUCGAGCGUAUGGGGCUUUGUCACCCGCUCUGUAGGCCCGGCCGGCGCUUGCCGAUCAACCCAAAUUUUUUAUCCAGGUUGACCUCGGAUCAGGUAGGGAUACCCGCUGAACUUAAGCAUAUCAAUAAGCGGAGGA
rnacentral:misc_RNA from 1 species